UUGGGUGUGUCACAAUGCUUCAGGCAGGGGGUGUUGCCGAGGUGGUUCUAGGUGCAGCACUUCACUCCCCAUCAUCUCCUGGUCAACUUACUCCUGUCUUCUUCAGGGAAGCUGAAGUUGAGAGAGAGAGAGAAAGGGAGGGUAGAAGGAGAGAGCAAGAAUCUCAAGCAGGCUCCACGCACAGCAUGGAACCAGAUGUGGUGCUCAAUCCUGAGGGAGUGGAGGACUCAACCCUGACAGGGGGCUCGAUUCCACAACCCUGAGAUCAUGAACUGAGCUGAAAUCAAGAGUUGGUUGCUUAACCGACUGAGCCACCCAAGAACUCCUAGCCUCUCACUUUGAGAAUCUUCCAGGGUACAUUCUCAGAAGAGAAAUUACUGGGUCCCAGGGAUCAUAUCUUCAACUUUUUGAAGAAAGCGUCAAACAAAUUUUCAAAUUUUACAGUCCAGCAAUUGUUCCAGCAAGGUAUUAAAAUUCCAG